GUUAGAGUGGAUUUAUUCUGGGUUCCUCCAGACAAGGUGGUUGCUGUGUCCCAAGCACUUCCUACGCUGGCUGCUCAACCUGCAAUGUAGGAGUAUGGGCCAGGUACAAGGGUUCCUUCAGACCCAGGUUCCCUGGAGGGCAGAGGGCCAGUGGGUGGUGUCUUUCUCUUUCUGUGUGGUUCAUCGAGGUUUUUGAGGCUUACUGUCACUCCACAAUGGUGUGGGGGGUGGAGGCAGUAUUUCUCCCCUCCUGAGUAGCUCAC
rnacentral:lncRNA from 1 species